rnacentral:rRNA from 1 species
UACGUAGGAUGCAAGCGUUGUCCGGAUUUAUUGGGUUUAAAGGGUGCGUAUGCGGCCUAUUAAGUUAGUGGUGAAAACGUUCGGCUUAACCGGAUACCCGCCAUUGAUACUGAUAGACUUGAGUGCGACAGAGGGUGUUGGAAUGUGUGGUGUAGCGGUGAAAUGCUUAGAUAUCACGCAGAACACCAAUUGCGAAGGCAGAUGCCUAUGUCGUAACUGACGCUGAGGCAUGAAAGCGUGGUGAGCAAACAGG